AGCGAACGCUGGCGGCAGGCCUAACACAUGCAAGUCGAACGAAGCCUUCGGGCUUAGUGGAGGACGGGUGAGUAACACGUGGGAACGUACCUUUUGGUUCGGAACAACUCAGGGAAACUUGAGCUAAUACCGGAUGAGCCCCUAAGGGGAAAGAUUUAUCGCCGAAAGAGCGGCCCGCGUUAGAUUAGCUAGUUGGUGAGGUAAAGGCACACCAAGGCAAAGAUCUAUAGCUGGUCUGAGAGGAUGAUAAGCCACACUGGGACUGAGACACGGCCCAGACUCCUACGGGAGGCAGCAGUGGGGAAUCUUGCGCAAUGGGCGAAAGCCUGACGCAGCCAUGCCGCGUGAAUGAUGAAGGUCUUAGGAUUGUAAAAUUCUUUUACCAGGGACGAUAAUGACGGUACCUGGAGAAAAAGCCCCGGCUAACUUCGUGCCAGCCGCCGCUGUAACAC
rnacentral:rRNA from 1 species